rnacentral:rRNA from 1 species
AUACGGAGGGAGCGAGCGUUAAUCGGAAUUACUGGGCGUAAAGCGCGCGUAGGCGGCUUGUUAAGUCGGAUGUGAAAUCCCCGGGCUCAACCUGGGAACUGCAUUCGAUACUGGCAGGCUAGAGUAUAGUAGAGGCAAGUGGAAUUCCGGGUGUAGCGGUGAAAUGCGUAGAUAUCCGGAGGAACAUCAGUGGCGAAGGCGACUUGCUGGACUAAUACUGACGCUGAGGAGCGAAAGCGUGGGGAGCAAACGGGAUUAGAAACCCCAGUAGUCC